AAGGUAGCAUAAUAAAUUGACUUUUAAUUGAAGCCUUGAAUGAAAGGAUAAAUGAAUAGUUUCUAUAUUAUAUUAAUUUAUUAUAAUUUAUUUAGAAGGUGAAAAUCCCUUUAUUUAAUAUAAUAGACGAGAAGACCCUAGGAGUUUAUUAAAAUUUAUUUUGUUGGGGCAACAUUAUAGCAAUUAAUCUAUAAAUAUAAAUUAAUAAAACGAGAAUUUUUAAUAUUAAUUAAGCUACCCUAGGGAUAACAGCAUAAAGUUUGUGACCUCGAUGUUGGACUAGGGAAUUUAAAGUUAACAGCGUUAAAUGAUAGUUCUGUUCGAACUUAUAUACCU
rnacentral:rRNA from 1 species